GAGAAAGAUUUAUCGCCUUAGGAUCGGCCCGCGUCAGAUUAGCUAGUUGGUGGGGUAAAAGCCUACCAAGGCGACGAUCUGUAGCUGGUCUGAGAGGACGACCAGCCACACUGGGACUGAGACACGGCCCAGACUCCUACGGGAGGCAGUAGUGGGGAAUCUUGGACAAUGGGCGAAAGCCUGAUCCAGCCAUGCCGCGUGGAUGAUGAAGGCCUUAGGGUUGUAAAAUCCUUUCGUUGGGGACGAUAAUGACGGUACCCAAAGAAGAAGCUCCGGCUAACUUCGUGCCAGCAGCCGCGGUAAUACGAAGGGGGCUAGCGUUGUUCGGAUUUACUGGGCGUAAAGCGCGUGUAGGCGGACUGGAAAGUUGGGGGUGAAAUCCCGAGGCUCAACCUCGGAACUGCCUCCAAAACUUCCAGUCUGGACUCAAGUAGAGGCAAGUGGAAUUGCGAGUGUAGAGGUGAAAUUCGUAGAUAUUCGCAGGAACACCAGUGGCGAAG
rnacentral:rRNA from 1 species